UCCCAACAUACCCGCGGUCAAAAAAACUCUAAGAUCCAUCCUAUCACCCACGUGCCCUGAGAAGUACAUUCCGAUGGCAUACACAAAUAGGAAAGCCACAUCAAGGUCACCGAGCAAUGUUGUUCCAUCAGGACCAUUAAACGGAAACCAACCAUCUAUAACUGAUUUCCGAAUACUAUUUCCUUGCCAUGGAAAAAUCGGACCAAUGCCAAGGGAUUGAGGAUCAAG
rnacentral:misc_RNA from 1 species